rnacentral:lncRNA from 10 species
AGACGCCCGCUGGACGUCAACUCGGCCGGACGCGGGGCACGGGCGCUAACAGGCUCCUAGGAGCCUCCCCGGGCGCCCCCCGCCCAGGGCGCGCUCUGCUCACCUGCAGGUUUCGGCGGCUCCGCGGUGACUAACAACAGCGGCAGCAGCAGCAGCAGCAGCAGAAGCGGUGGCGGCUGUGGCAGCCCCGGGCGCCCGCCCGGACCGCCGCGGGUCAUCGCUCCACGGCCGCGACCUUCCUCUGCGGGAUCAGGCGGCCGCGGUGGCCCGCGGUGGCAGAAGUUGCAAGAGAGGCUCCUGGCCUACUCAGGGGCGCCGCCUCUCCGAGUUUUGCGGCCCAAGGCUUGGGCGAAUCAGUUCACAUCAACACCCCUACUAGCCUCUCCCUCCGGGGUCGACCAUUUAUCUCCAGCAGCGGACCAGGCGCCCGGGCCAGGGUGACAUGCGCGCCCUGCCUACACGCAGCUCGGAUCCUCUGCUGUUUCUGGAGAGGCCUCCACAGGUAGAAGCUCCCUGGAACAACUGCUGGAAUAAGGUUCCAGAGUGGAAGGUGGAAGCUCCCUCUUGGGAUAAAGGAUCCACAGUGGAAAAAAAAAAAGUUGCCCUCUGCUGGAAAACAGCAUCUUUGUCCUCUGAGAAAAACAGUCUCCCUUCUUACGGAGGCCAGUGGAUUCCAUCCUAGAGGCUGUGUUGACCGUAUCUCCAAAUAGACAAUAACGAGGCAUCUUGAUUCCCACAACUCCAGC